rnacentral:tRNA from 1 species
ACUUAUUUAAUAUAAAAAUUAUUAUUGAUUUCCAAUCAAAAAAUCUGUUAUCAACAGAAUAAGUA